rnacentral:ncRNA from 1 species
AAUAAAGUUCCUGAUUCUGAAGUGCCUGAAGUAGAGAUGGAAGAAAGUGAAAACGCGACUGUUAAGUUGGUAGAAAGUGAUAGUGAAAUUACUAAGUCUCAAUUAGCAAGCAUUGAACCAUCUGAAAAGUCAUGUGAUGCAGAGACGACAGAAGCUGACAUACAGCUUAACCCAGAGUUCCAGUAUGACAAGAAAAUACACCGACUUCACAAACUAAAUAUGUGUCUGGUCCGGAAAACCAAAGCUUUUGGGUUCUGGGGGAAGUAUGGUUGCAAAGCUGAAAUUUAAAGGAACUGACCAAAGGGCACCACCAGGAAUGGAGCCUGCGGCUUAAUUUGAUUCAAGACGCGAACACUUACCCGGACCGGACAUAGGAAGGAUUGACAGAUUAAGAGCUCUUUGUUGAUUCUGUGGGUGGUGGUGCAUGGCCGUUCAUAUUUGGUGGAGUGAUUUGUCUGUUAAUUCCGAUAACGAAUGAGACUCUAGCCUACUAAAUAGACGCUCCGAUUCUUCGAGUCGGACGUUCUUCUUAGAAGGACAAGUGGCGUUUAGCCGCACGAGGCAGAGCAAUUACUGGUAUGUGAUGCCCUUAAGGACCAUUCCCAGUGGGGUUUAUCUGAGCUAACGGAGUCAAUUCUAUGUGUCGACUAGCUACGCUAUGGCUGCAGUUCAGAUUGUUCAGAUCGCUACUACCGAUUGAACAGUUUAGUGAGGUCUUCGAACUGGCUCUUGAAGCGACUUUCUGAUCGCGUCGGCGUACCGGAAAGAUGACCAUACUUGAUCAUUUAGAGGAAUUAAAAGUCGUAACAAGGUUUCCGUAAGUGAGUCUGCGGAAAGAUCAUUA